rnacentral:tRNA from 1 species
UGGGGGUUCGUCCAACGGCAGGACAGCAGACUCUGGAUCUGUUUAUGGAGGUUCGAAUCCUUCACCCCCAG